rnacentral:sRNA from 1 species
GGAAGAAGGCCCCUCGCCCUCGGCGGAGCGCUAUCUUCCACUGGUUUUCCAGGUUCCCCGGCUUGCUACCGGGCUGCUCCGUGCAUCUUUCCCCCCAGGCGUCAGGAACUGCGCCCUCAUGGCGGAGGUGAAGGUGAAGGUGCAGCCGCCCGACGCGGAUCCGGUCGAAAUAGAAAACAGGAUUAUAGAAUUAUGUCACCAGUUCCCUCAUGGAAUCACAGACCAAGUAAUUCAGAAUGAAAUGCCUCAUAUAGAAGCCCAGCAGCGGGCAGUAGCCAUCAAUAGGUUGUUGUCUAUGGUAAGGUGAAUCUAACUAUUUUGCAUAAUUACUGAUAUGCUGAUUAUCACUGGUUUUUAUUAUGUAGUUGUGAUGGUUAAUUUCAUGUCAACUUGACUAAGAUACAGGAUUCCUAGAUAUCUAGUUAAACAUUUUAUUGGAGUGUCUGUGUGGGUGUUUCUGAAAGAGGUUAGUUAGCAUUUUGAAUUGGUGAACAGAGUAAAGUAGAUAUGGGUCCAGUUGGGUGAGCAUCAUCCAAUCCAUUCAGGGCCUAAAUAGAACAAAGUGGCAGAGGAAGAUUGAAUUCACUCUUUCAAUUCAAUCUUGAGCUG